rnacentral:rRNA from 1 species
AAGCUAUUUAGGUAGCGCCUCGUGAACUCAUCUCCGGGGGUAGAGCACUGUUUCGGCUAGGGGGCCAUCCCGGCUUACCAACCCGAUGCAAACUGCGAAUACCGGAGAAUGUUAUCACGGGAGACACACGGCGGGUGCUAACGUCCGUCGUGAAGAGGGAAACAACCCAGACCGCCAGCUAAGGUCCCAAAGUCAUGGUUAAGUGGGAAACGAUGUGGGAAGGCCCAGACAGCCAGGAUGUUGGCUUAGAAGCAGCCAUCAUUUAAAGAAAGCGUAAUAGCUCACUGGUCGAGUCGGCCUGCGCGGAAGAUGUAACGGGGCUAAACCAUGCACCGAAGCUGCGGCAGCGACACUAUGUGUUGUUGGGUAGGGGAGCGUUCUGUAAGCCUGCGAAGGUGGCCUGUGAGGGUUGCUGGAGGUAUCAGAAGUGCGAAUGCUGACAUAAGUAACGAUAAAGCGGGUGAAAAGCCCGCUCGCCGGAAGACCAAGGGUUCCUGUCCAACGUUAAUCGGGGCAGGGUGAGUCGACCCCUAAGGCGAGGCCGAAAGGCGUAGUCGAUGGGAAACGGGUUAAUAUUCCCGUACUUGGUGUUACUGCGAAGGGGGGACGGAGAAGGCUAUGUUGGCCGGGCGACGGUUGUCCCGGUUUAAGCGUGUAGGUGUGUGUUCCAGGUAAAUCCGGUUCACUUUAACACUGAGGCGUGACGACGAGGCACUACGGUGCUGAAGCAACAAAUGCCCUGCUUCCAGGAAAAGCCUCUAAGCAUCAGGUAACAUCAAAUCGUACCCCAAACCGACACAGGUGGUCAGGUAGAGAAUACCAAGGCGCUUGAGAGAACUCGGGUGAAGGAACUAGGCAAAAUGGUGCCGUAACUUCGGGAGAAGGCACGCUGACACGUAGGUGAAGUGAUUUACUCACGGAGCUGAAGUCAGUCGAAGAUACCAGCUGGCUGCAACUGUUUAUUAAAAACACAGCACUGUGCAAACACGAAAGUGGACGUAUACGGUGUGACGCCUGCCCGGUGCCGGAAGGUUAAUUGAUGGGGUCAGCGCAAGCGAAGCUCCUGAUCGAAGCCCCGGUAAACGGCGGCCGUAACUAUAACGGUCCUAAGGUAGCGAAAUUCCUUGUCGGGUAAGUUCCGACCUGCACGAAUGGCGUAAUGAUGGCCAGGCUGUCUCCACCCGAGACUCAGUGAAAUUGAACUCGCUGUGAAGAUGCAGUGUACCCGCGGCAAGACGGAAAGACCCCGUGAACCUUUACUAUAGCUUGACACUGAACAUUGAGCCUUGAUGUGUAGGAUAGGUGGGAGGCUUUGAAGCGUGGACGCCAGUCUGCGUGGAGCCGACCUUGAAAUACCACCCUUUAAUGUUUGAUGUUCUAACGUGGACCCGUGAUCCGGGUUGCGGACAGUGUCUGGUGGGUAGUUUGACUGGGGCGGUCUCCUCCUAAAGAGUAACGGAGGAGCACGAAGGUUGGCUAAUCCUGGUCGGACAUCAGGAGGUUAGUGCAAUGGCAUAAGCCAGCUUGACUGCGAGCGUGACGGCGCGAGCAGGUGCGAAAGCAGGUCAUAGUGAUCCGGUGGUUCUGAAUGGAAGGGCCAUCGCUCAACGGAUAAAAGGUACUCCGGGGAUAACAGGCUGAUACCGCCCAAGAGUUCAUAUCGACGGCGGUGUUUGGCACCUCGAUGUCGGCUCAUCACAUCCUGGGGCUGAAGUAGGUCCCAAGGGUAUGGCUGUUCGCCAUUUAAAGUGGUACGCGAGCUGGGUUUAGAACGUCGUGAGACAGUUCGGUCCCUAUCUGCCGUGGGCGCUGGAGAACUGAGGGGGGCUGCUCCUAGUACGAGAGGACCGGAGUGGACGCAUCACUGGUGUUCGGGUUGUCAUGCCAAUGGCACUGCCCGGUAGCUAAAUGCGGAAGAGAUAAGUGCUGAAAGCAUCUAAGCACGAAACUUGCCCCGAGAUGAGUUCUCCCUGAGACUUUAGGUCUCCUGAAGGAACGUUGAAGACGACGACGUUGAUAGGCCGGGUGUGUAAGCGCAGCGAUGCGUUGAGCUAACCGGUACUAAUGAACCGUGAGGCUUAACCUUACAACGCCGAAG